rnacentral:misc_RNA from 1 species
AGGUCGUAACAAGGUUUCCGUAGGUGAACCUGCGGAAGGAUCAUUACCGAGUUAGGGUCCUCUGGGCCCGAUCUCCCAACCCUUUGUUUAUUAUACCUUUUGUUGCUUCGGCGAGCCCGUUGUCUCACGACGACCGCCGGAGGACCGCUUAACGGCGUCCUCUGGUCCGCGCCCGCCGAUGGCCCCAAAAUCUCAAAAUUCUUGUAUGAAUCGUGUCUUUACCUAAGUCUUGAUUUAAUCAAAAACAAAACUUUCAACAACGGAUCUCUUGGUUCUG